AUUCGAAAUAAAAACAAAUCGCGUAAAUUUUACGACUUUAAUUACUUUUCGGCAAUGUAAACAUAGUGAGACUUUUGAAACAUUGAAAUGCGGGGAAAACGCGGAUUUCAGUCAGCUAAAGCGAUCCAGCGUUACAUCAAGGUUUUUUGACCCACAGAAGACGAUGGAAAGCUGCCUCACCAAGACACCAGACGCCGGAUCAUCUAUAUUUGCAAUCGCAGACGCAAGACAUGUGUUCAGGUUUUGAAUAUAAUGUCUCCAGUAUGGAUAUGUUUGACGAUUGUUACCAUAGAAACGAACUCACAGACCAACAUGUAUGUCAAAACAGGUUUUGAACAUGAUGUCUCCAGUAAGGAUAUGUUUGAUGAUGGUUACCAUGGGAACGAACUCACAGACCUAUGUCAAAAAUGUCAUUUUCUGAUAGAAUAGACAUAAUGCUAUCCAUUUCACUCAAUUUUAGAAUUUUUUAAUUAAUACACUUCCGGGUUCUCUACAGGUUUUAAAUAUGAUGUCUCCAGCAAGGAUAUGUUUGAUGAUGGUUACCAUGGUAACGAUCUCACAGACCUAUGUCAAAAAUGUCUUUUUCUGAUAGAAUAGACAUAAUGCUAUCCAUUUCAUUCAAUUUUAGAAUUUUUUGAUUAUUCUGAUGUCAGCCAUACACUUCCGGGUUCUCUACAGGUUCUAAAUAUGAUGUCUCCAGCAAGGAUAUGUUUGAUGAUGGUUACCAUGGGAACGAUCUCACAGACCUAUGUCAAAAAUGUAUUUUUCUGAUAGAAUAAACAUAAUGCUAUCCAUUUCACUCAAUUUUAGAAUCUUUUAAUUAUUCUCAUGUCAGUCAUACCUUUCCAUUUUUUG